UGGGGAAUUUUGGACAAUGGGGGCAACCCUGAUCCAGCCAUGCCGCGUGAGUGAAGAAGGCCUUCGGGUUGUAAAGCUCUUUUGGCCGGAAAGAAAAGGCCGCGGAUAACACCCGCGGUCCUUGACGGUACCGGCAGAAUAAGCACCGGCUAACUACGUGCCAGCAGCCGCGGUAAUACGUAGGGUGCGAGCGUUAAUCGGAAUUACUGGGCGUAAAGCGUGCGUAGGCGGUCCCGCAAGUCCGCUGUGAAAGCCCCGGGCUUAACCUGGGAAUUGCAGUGGAAACUAUGGGACUUGAAUCCGGCAGAGGGGGGUGGAAUGCCACGUGUAGCAGUGAAAUGCGUAGAGAUGUGGCGGAACACCGAUGGCGAAGGCAGCCCCCUGGGCCGAGAUUGACGCUCAGGCACGAAAGCGUGGGGAGCAAACAGGAUUAGAUACCCCUGUAGUC
rnacentral:rRNA from 1 species